rnacentral:lncRNA from 1 species
CAGAGCUCAGCUCUCACCGUUUGCUCCGAACCGAGCCCGCAGUCGGACCGUGCCAGUUUGGCUCGAUGCCCCAAAACUAACCACCGAGGUCCCAUUCAGCUGUGGCAGUUCCUCCUGGAGCUGCUCCACGACGGGGCGCGUAGCAGCUGCAUCCGUUGGACUGGCAACAGCCGCGAGUUCCAGCUGUGCGACCCCAAAGAGGUGGGGCAGCUCCCCUGCCCAGCCAAAUCCGCCCCGUCUCUUCUAGUUCAAUUUAGCUCCGCCCAAGGGCUAGGUUCAACCGCGUAGCCCUCGGCCCCGCCGCUCCCCGGCCCACUCGAGGCCCCGCCCAACCCUUCUCAAACCCAAUCUCCCGCCUGUACUCCUGCCUCAACCAACCCAGUCUCCACCGGGCUCUGCGAGGCCUCGCCCAGGUCUGCACUGCACACCGCCCCCAGGCCCGGCCCUCCCCACUAUCGCCAAGCCCCGCCCCUUCCCACUCCGACCGAGCGGGCCUCUGUCCUAGGUGGCUCGGCUGUGGGGCGAGCGCAAGAGAA